rnacentral:rRNA from 1 species
CUACUAGCCUACGACGGGUACGGGUUGUGAGAGCAAGAGCCCGGAGAUGGAUUCUGAAACACGAAUCCAGGCCCUACGGGGUGCAGCAGGCGCGAAAACUUUACAAUGCCGGCAACGGCGAUAAGGGGACCUCGAGUGCCAGGUUACAAAUCUGGCUGUCGUGAUGCCUAAAAAGCAUUGCAUAGCAAGGGCCGGGCAAGACCGGUGCCAGCCGCCGCGGUAACACCGGCGGCUCGAGUGGUAACCGUUAUUAUUGGGUCUAAAGGGUCUGUAGCCGGCCGGAUAAGUCUCUUGAGAAAUCCAGCAGCUCAACUGUUGGGCUUUCAGGAGAUACUGUUCGGCUCGAGGCCGGGAGAGGUGAGAGGUACUUCAGGGGUAGGGGUGAAAUCUUGUAAUCCUUGAAGGACCACCAGUGGCGAAGGCGUCUCACCAGAACGGACCUGACGGCAAGGGACGAAAGCUAGGGGCACGAACCGGAUUAGAUACCCGGGUAGUCCUAGCCGUAAACGAUACUCGCUAGGUGUCGGCCACGGUGCGACCGUUGUCGGUGCCGUAGGGAAGCCGUGAAGCGAGC